rnacentral:lncRNA from 1 species
UUGUGUCGUUUAAGUGUGGUCUAUUAGGGGAGGUUGUUCUUUGUUUAGAUUUCGUUCUCUAGUGAAUUUUUGUUGAGUCUUGUGUACAGUUUUGCAUGCUUUUUGUGAAUUCUGGACUGUGAUUAGGUUGCUAGUUUCCCUUCACUGCAUUGAUACUCUGUUUUGUUGGAUGCCACACUUUUCUUUGCUUAGAAGAUGAUCAUGAUGUUUGAGAGUUGGAUUGAUUGUGACCGAUUACCUGUGUGAGAUUUGAGCCAUUUGAUGAUCUUUCUUGUGUGUGAUAUGUCUCUGGAUUGCUUGCACAUUUGCCUUGGCUUGACUCUGUUGAUAAUUCUUGAUUCAUGAGCAUGUUUGAAAAUGAUAAAGGCAUUUUGUUGAUUGAGCCUCUCUAGCCAGAUAGCCUACCUUGUUAUGAUCUCUUUGUUAGCCUCCUUGAGCCUAUACUUCCCCCAUUUCUUUGUUUUGAACCUCAUACAAUAGCCUAAGUGAAAAACCAUGAUCACCUGAACCUUAGGAAUUUUGGAGCUUUGGAAUUGUUUUGGGAAUAAGUGUGGUCUCUUAGGAGUUGCAGAUGAAUUGGCUAGUGAGUCCUCUUCUUGCGGUUGCACCGUAAAUAUCAUGUAUAUUGUCUUUUGAAUUGUGUGUUGAUUAAAAAAAAAAAAUGAGAGAGAAAAUACAAAAAAUAAAAUAAAAUUUGUGAAUAAAGGAGUCAAGAAGAGGAUUGAAUUAGAAGUUGUGGGUGUGUUUGAAUGUGUUUACACUUGUUCCCCAUUGCUCCUCUAUUCCUUUUGGUUUGUAGCUUCUUAUCCAGAUGUAUCCUCCUUUGUCCUUGGCCCCAUUAACCAUGAAAAGACCUUUUGAUUUGAACAUGCAUAUGUGUUUGAGUGUUGAUAUUAGAGGCUUGCCAAGUCUAUUUGUGUUUGUUUUCUUGAGUGCAUUGAGUGACAUUGAUUUACCUUAAACACUUGAGAGAAACACUGAUUGUGUGCAUCUGUGAGGCUUUGUUGCUUUUGAUUCAUCUCUUGAACUGAUUGACUGUUUUCCAUGGACUGAAUUGUUUGGAUGAUUCUGUGAGUAUCUGCUUUCAUUUCUUUUGUGUUGGAUACUGUCCAUUUCCUUUCACUGUCCAGAUUUUGUGAGAACUAUGCAACUCUGUGUUUGUCCUUGUGAGUCUUUGUCAUUUGUCUGUUGAGUCUGUGUCGCUUCCUGAUGUCCUCGGUACUGUUCCCUGUUUUG